AGGAAGCGAGGUAGAGUGGAGAUAUCAGAAAAAGACGGGAGUGUGAGCUCGGAGCACGUUGGGGUUUUUGUUCAGUAGCCUAGAGUAUGAGGGGUUUCCACUGUUAAAGCUCAAAGGAAGACUCAUAGACCCAUCACUCUUCAUGGAGACACAGCUGGGUUCUGGUGGCAGCACCAGAGGUCGUAGCCCACAGAGCACAGAGUUAUAGAGUGGAAACCUAACUGUCUCAAAGCACGCUGACUGAACAGUCCAGAAAGUGAAGCUCAUCAGAAGGAAGUGUUAUGGCACAUGGCCGCCCAAACUCCAGGCCCACAGCCUCGUUUCAUUCGGGCCUCGUGAACUUGGAAACAAUAAAACUGAAACAGCCUGUAGAACACGACUGCUUAACAUUUUCACACUAUCCAGAAUUCACAGCAGAUCUGUAGUGGAGCCAUCUGAAGACAGGAGGUGAGGUGAACAGUCAUCAGGGGAGGGAAACUCCUGCUGGAAAGGAGGGAAGACAGUCUGAAGUCCAAGCAGGUCAGCUGUGAUGCCUUCACUAAAAAAGCUGAACCAGGAGAAGACUAAAAUAAUCUGUAGUUAAUAGAAGGGCUACUUUAAGUCUAAUCCUACUUUCUCUUUACCAGCAUUAAAUGGGUUUUAUUUGAAUAAAUUCUGAUCCAGAAGUCAGUCAGUCAGUCAGUCAGUUGCACUAAACAGAGAUGAUUUCUGUGAGCCUAAAGUAGGGGUGUGUGAUAUGACUGUUUUACACCGUGAAUGAUCCAUGAUCUGUUUUUACUGAGGGAUCACAUGGACCGUGAUACUAAAUAUAUUUUGUCAGUUGUGCUGAAAAUGCUGAUACGUGGCAUCUUAUUUUCUGAGCCAGACUUUAUUCACUAGUCCAGCUCACGGUCUCCCUGAAAGACACAGGAGCAAAUCAGUAAUAACCCAGAGUCAGCAGCUCCUUGGGUUAUGUUUCCUCAUUUUGUUUACCAUCAACAUGGCCAAGAACACAGAGAAUCUGGAGCUGAAAACAUUCCACAUCAGUUAAAUGGAAUUGUUGGAAUUUACAAAACAGAUACAGUGAAAACAUGUGUUUGGAAAAAUAUGCAGAGGGAAGAAAGCAGCCUAAAGACACUCCUUAUGAGAAAACACUGGUCACUGAUGCCAGGACAUUACACCUGUAUUUAGCCAUUAAACGCUUUCUCAGGUGAUUUCAGUUCCGCUGACGGGACGCAGUUUUACUGUUGUUUUCACACGAGCUCAGUCAAAUACAACCACAUUUCUCUUCAACAAAUCACUUACUUUUACUCAACACUCCAUGUUGUGUGACAUCAAUGUUACCAUUUCUGCCUGGGGUUGAAUUUUUUGCCCCCCCCCAACAGCUAUAAAAUGGUGUCGAGGCUGAAAAACAAAUACUUUCACCUUCAGAAAACUGAUUCACUCCAAGUGAUGUGAACAAAUCGACUCUGAGUCAGAUCCUUUUACAUGAAUUUUAAACUGAAAAUGUAAACAAUGAAAUUGAAAUGUUUACUUGUUCAGGAAGACUCUUAACAUUUUGCUGUUCUGAAGUUACGCUGCAACAUUAUGUAUGGGCGUGGUGUGAGACGGCUGCUUCUCCAGUAGCUCAGUAAAUCAAUAAAGUUUUAUCUAAUCUAAGUCCAGUCCACUUUGAUUACCAAGAAAU